UACAUCUUAAGCCGGUCUCCCACCAAACCAGGUCUGGGUUGAAGGACUCCACUGCCUCAUAUUCAAACAGAGAGCUACAGCCCAUGGAUAAAUCAUCUAUUUUCUAUGGCUAUUUCCCUCUCUAACCACCACACUCUCUUAGCUCAUCCUCGCUCUCCGCUCCUCCUUUCUCUUCAAAACCCUCCAAAACCCUAGAAACCAAAACCUCAUCAUUAUCCCUUCAACCUCUCCUCCACAGACCCCUCCGUCUCUGCAAACCCACCAACGCCUCCCUUCUCCCGAAUUCCUCUCCAAUCCCAAUUAACUGCAAGAAGAGGCGUUCUUUGAAGGCUUUUCUUGCACCUCAAGACUCUGUUCCUCCUCCUACCGUAUGUUUUUCUCUUCAUUUUCCACUCACUCUUAUUAAUGGAAGUAAACAACCAAGAUCAUCAGUUUUGCUAUUUUGUUUUGUUUUCUGUUGGAAAUAAAGGGGAGUUUCUUAUCAAAUCAUUCUGUGAUUUUAUUUUCCCUUACUUCUUAUUUAGACAAAUGAGAAGGAAGAAGGUCAGAAACGAGGACCCGGUCUGAAGAACCUUUUGAAGAUUUACUGGCAGGCUAUUUCUUGCGGAUAUGAGAAGACUAUGUUGGAUAUUGAGGCUGAGAUAGGCAUCAUAGAAAAAGACAAUAACGAAUUAGUCAAGAAAGUGUCAUCUUUAUCGGCUGAGAUAACCUCUGGGAAGGAGAAAUGUAUCCGUUUGCAAGCAGAUUAUGAUAAUUUUAGGAGAAGGACGGAGAAAGAGAAGCUUAACGUCAGGAGUGAUGCCCAGGGAUAAGUGAUUGAGAGCCUGCUGCCCGUGGUGGACAGUUUUGAGAGAGCAAAGCAACAAGUACAGCCGGAAACAGAUAAAGAAAAGAAGAUUGAUACAUUUACCAGGGUAUAUACAAGCAUUUUGUGGAGAUUAUGAGGAGCUUGCAGGUGGCUGCUGUGUCAAUGGUUGGAAGCUGCUGUGCCAACGGUUAGAAAGCCUUUUGAUCCUUCGCUUCAUGAGGCCAUUGCACGUGAAGAGUCUCCGGAAUACAAAGAGGGAAUUAUGAUUCAAGAAUUCAGGCUUGGAUUUCUCGUUGUGAAUCGGUUAAUAAGACCCGCUAUGGUUAAAGUUUCUUCUGGGCUCGGCAGUAAGAACGCUUCAGUGGGUGCUGUGCAACCUUCCACGACUGCUGGAAUGGGCUACCGAUAGUCUUGCUGGGCAAGAAAGUUUUUAAUAUGAGGAUUUUCUUCGACUUGCCAUCAUAUGGUCAUUGCUUAUCUGCUCUGAAACUUUUGUUGCUGAACAAAUUUAUGAUGUGCCGAGGGAGAAAAAAAUAAAUAAAUCUUCCCUCGGUGUCCAGGCCCUAGAAUUCAGUUUCUAUGUACUCUGGAGACAUUUGGUCUUAGGAAAGGGCAGAAACUAAUUCUAGACUUCUUGAUACGUUUAUGCACACAUUAUGUGUUAACCAAUUGGUUCAUCAGUUUCAGGUUGCGGGAUGAUGCGGAAAACAGGCUCUUGGAGACCGAUAAUUACAUGCUGCUUUGACGUACAAUAUAUAAAUCAGAGUCCAAUGCUAUUUCCUUCAAUCAAAUGCAAGCAUGAUUUGAUUCCUACUAUUUGGGACUAAUGUCAAGUGGGUUUUACCAAGUCUUUGAUCCCUUGAAUCAUGAAUAAAUUAGAAGAAAAGAGAACAAACCGUGA